rnacentral:tRNA from 1 species
GUUCCUGUAGUUGAAAACAACGAUGGCUUUUCAUGCCGCCAGUCCUGGUUAGAAUCCUGGCAAGAAUU